rnacentral:rRNA from 1 species
UACGAAGGGGGCUAGCGUUGCUCGGAAUUACUGGGCGUAAAGCGCACGUAGGCGGUCUUUUAAGUCGGGGGGGAAAUCCUGGAGCUCAACUCCAGAACUGCCUUCGAUACUGGAAGACUCGAGUCCGGGAGAGGUGAGUGGAACUGCGAGUGUAGAGGUGAAAUUCGUAGAUAUUCGCAAGAACACCAGUGGCGAAGGCGGCUCACUGGCCCGGUACUGACGCUGAGGUGCGAAAGCGUGGGGAGCAAACAGG